GAGGAGGAGGUUAGCCUUGAUGGCCAGGUGGUACCUCGGAAGGACACCUUUCGGUAUUUGGGCUCAAUGUUGCAGGAGGAUGGGGGUAUUGAUGAAGAUGUGAACCAUCGAAUCAAAGCUGGAUGGAUGAAGUGGCGCCAAGCUUCUGGCAUUCUCUGUGACAAGAGAGUGCCACAAAAGCUAAAAGGCAAGUUCUACAGGACGGCGGUUCGACCCGCAAUGUUGUAUGGCGCGGAGUGUUGGCCAACUAAAAUGCGACAUGUUCAACAGUUAGGUGUGGCGGAGAUGCGUAUGUUGAGAUGGAUGUGUGGCCACACGAGGAAGGAUCGAGUCCGGAAUGAUGAUAUACGAGAUAGAGUUGGGGUAGCACCAUUUGAGGAGAAGCUUGUCCAACAU
rnacentral:rRNA from 1 species